CCUACGGGAGGCAGCAGUGAGGAAUAUUGGUCAAUGGGCGCGAGCCUGAACCAGCCAAGUAGCGUGAAGGAUGACUGCCCUACGGGUUGUAAACUUCUUUUAUAAAGGAAUAAAGUGAGGCACGUGUGCCUUUUUGUAUGUACUUUAUGAAUCAGGAACGGCUAACUCCGUGCCAGCAGCCGCGGUAAUACGGAGGAGCCGAGCGUUAACCGGAUUUCUUGGGUUUAAAGGGAGCGUAGAUGGGUUGUUAAGUCAGUUGUGAAAGUUUGCGGCUCAACCGUAAAAUUGCAAUUGAUACUGGCAGUCUUGAGUACAGGUGAGGUAGGCGGAAUGCGUGGUGUAGCGGUGAAAUGCUUAGAUAUCACGAAGAACUCCGAUUGCGAAGGCAGCUUACUAAACUGCCACUGACAUUGAUGCUCGAAAGUGUGGGUAUCAAACAGGAUUAGAUACCCUAGUAGUC
rnacentral:rRNA from 1 species